GCUACCCAGCAAUGGGAUGCGAAUCUCGAAAGCCUGUCUCAGUUCGGAUUGGAGGCUGAAACCCGCCUCCAUGAAGUUGGAUUCGCUAGUAAUCGCGCAUCAGCCAUGGCGCGGUGAAUACGUUCCCGGGCCUUGUACACACCGCCCGUCAAGCCAUGGGAGCCGGGGGUGCCUGAAGUUCGUGACCGCAAGGAGCGACCUAGGGCAAAACUGGUGACUGGGGCUAAGUCGUAACAAGGUACC
rnacentral:rRNA from 1 species